rnacentral:lncRNA from 1 species
CUUCGGCAAUACUUUUGUCAGUACUAGAUGCAAAGGGGAGCUUGAUAGCUGAGGUCUACUUGAGAAAAAUCCAGGGUCUUGUUCGGCUUAGUUUUAUUCAAAGUAGGUUCAAAGUUGCGGUUGGACACCCUACUCCACCCUUACAGAAAAAUUAAUGAAAAAUGUUCUACGGCAAUACUUUUGUCCGCACUAGAUGCAAAGGGAAGCCAGGUAACCUAGGUCUACUUGAUAAAAAAUCCAGGUUCAUUUUGGAACAUCAGUGAUAAAAGCUUUUUAAAAAAGGGAG